AAAAAUUGUCCAGACAAAAUGAAUGAACUAGCACCCACUUCUCAUUUCUAAAAAACAUUUUAUGCUGUCGGUUCCAGUUCCCCGAGUUCAAUGAUGCUGCAAUGAUGCUGCCAAAAUAUCAACAACUUAGCAUCCUCUUCGUCGAUUUGAAGCCCCUCCGAUCUCUUAGUCAGGCUCAUUUUCUGUUUGCCUACCUGAUCCCACCGGUUCCUCAGUGUAAGGAGGCAUCGAACCUACCAGGUAAACUUCUUC
rnacentral:lncRNA from 1 species